GAUGAACGCUAGCUACAGGCUUAACACAUGCAAGUCGAGGGGUAACGAGAGGAAAGCUUGCUUUCCUUGUCGACGACCGGCGCACGGGUGAGUAACGCGUAUCCAACCUGCCCCCAACUAGGGAAUAACCUUGCGAAAGUAAGACUAAUACCCUAUAAUUUCCUCAGAUGUCAUCUGACGAGGAAUAAAGAUUUAUCGGUUGUGGAUGGGGAUGCGUCUGAUUAGCUUGUUGGCGGGGUAACGGCCCACCAAGGCAACGAUCAGUAGGGGUUGUGAGAGGAAGGUGCCCCACAUUGGAACGGUGACACGGGCCAAACUCCUACGGAAGGCAGCAGUGAGGAAGAUGGGGCAAUGGGCGGAAGCCUGAACCAGCCAAGGAGCGUGCAGGAUUGCGGCCCUAUGGUUUGUAAACUGCUUUUAUACAGGAAUAAAGUUAGCCACGUGUGGUUAUUUGUAGGUACUGUAUGAAUAAGGACCGGCUAAUUCCGUGCCAGCAGCCGCCGUAA
rnacentral:rRNA from 1 species